UUCAAUUUGUAAGGAGGAAAAAGGAUGAUCGGUAUGUCCAGAACGCAGAGCGAACGCGUUUUCGUCAUCCGAAAAGCCAAAAAAUUGUUACCACAAUGCUGCUGUUCUACAUUGGUACCUUUUUGUCGUAAUUUUUUGAGAUCCACUUCAAAAUUCCUAUUUUUGUUUUUCGGCUUUAUCUUUUUCGUAAUUAACUAUAACCCCAAACACCAACCGAGGCCCUAUAAAUACUAUGUUAAAAGAAGGAACAGUAUGUAGAAUGAAGUAGGAGGCGGAUGAGACUAUUAAAAUUAUUAGAGCUCGGGGCUGGUUAGCCCUUUGGAUCACUGCUCACUGCUAAUUGUCGCAACUCGCUGCACAUCAUUGAUUGCGACUGUUAUCCGUGAGAUCUUAUAAUUCACGAUGGUAACAUUACCAUUUUUUUCAUUCAUCCCAUGCCGGCCACUUCGUUCAUCAUUGCGCACCCUCACUCUUCAUCUUCCUGAUCGUUGCCAAUGGCGGACCGACAGAUGAUUCUUCAGCUAAAUGGAUUAUAACUCUGAGCCCGCUCAGGCGAUCCUGCACAGGGAGAACAUGGUAGUAUAAUAGUAACGUCCAUCUUCAAAGGUCAAACACACACCUCUGUGAGACUACUCAUUGGAAUAACAAUUAGGCUCCUAGUAUCCGCUGUUUCCAACCGCUCAGUACUGGGUCUGUACAUCGAUCCUACCAGGCGUUAUUCUAAAAUGAGUUCUUGAGAUCGCUGAAAUCGCAGCCAUAGCCCAUGGAUGUCGAUUGCUGGGUGAGAGGAACACUUUAC
rnacentral:sRNA from 1 species